UACGUAGGUGACCAGCGUUGUCCGGAUUUACUGGGCGUAAAGAGCGCGCAGGCGGUCGUUCAAGUCGAGUGUGAAAGCCCCCGGCUCAACUGGGGAGGGUCACUCGAUACUGAUCGACUUGAAGGCAGGAGAGGGAAGCGGAAUUCCCGGUGUAGUGGUGAAAUGCGUAGAUAUCGGGAGGAACACCAGUGGCGAAGGCGGCAUCCUGGACCGGUAUUGACGCUGAGGCGCGAAAGCUAGGGUAGCAAACGGG
rnacentral:rRNA from 1 species